NNNNNNNNNNCGCCGCGUCCGCCGCCUGAAGGAAGCUUCUUUUCCCGCGCCUCGCGCGCUAGCGCGGGUGGCAGAGAAGGAAGUGACGCACCGGGAUUUUAUUGGCUGCAGACACACGCAGCAUCUUCUUGCGCUCCUCCUUGAGGUGGAUGGGCAGCUAGCUGGAGAUGACACAGGAUGAUGCGCAUCUUUCGCACGCUGGCUCCAAGAUCUCCGCUGCCAGAUGCAGCAACAAAGCUUCUUUGUACAGACAGCCCUGGACACACUUCCAGCAGCAAUUCUUCUUGCAGGAACUGGUGCAAGAACAGGAUUUAUUCGUGGCACAGGAGCAGUUGGUGUCCACUGGGAGUGGAGGCAGAAGAGAGACCAGAGCGGUGACUUCAACAGAAGUGGAGUAAAUAAAGAUGAUCACAGAACUUGGAAGCUGACGAAAUUAAUUUUGGAAAAGAGCUGGCUUGGAGCAUGACAGAAGAAUUCGAUGGAAAGAGUGCUGGGAGCCCAACUCAAGACUGAUGUGUGCUUGGCAGGCAGUCUACCCCCGAUCUCAGUCCUCCAGCCUUUCGGCCUUUUUUCCUUUUUGGAGACAGAAUUGCAUCAUAUGGCAUCCUACACAGUCCUGCCUCAGUCUCUGCAGUGCUGGGAUUGUAGGCCUAUGCCACCUAGCCUUUCUACAAUACAAACAAAUAUGAAAAGAAGAGGGACUUCUUUGGAAAGGAGUACAGGGACUAUGGAAGAGAUGAAAAGAUAAUAUUGUCAGAAAUUAUGCCGCUUUUGAAGAGAUAAACUGAACUCUUGAUUCUGUGAGGUUAUUAAAGAAUAUUAAUUUUCAAAUCACGGUAAAAUCUUGAUUCAGCAACACAUGAGGAUAAUCAUUGUGUCCAUGGAAACCUUGGGAAGCAGUUGAAAGCCUGGUCCCUCUUGCCUGGAGCAUUAACACAACGUGGCUGCAAAGUUAGUCCUUUCCCGCUACCAUCUCCUGAAUACUGGGACUAACUACACGUAUGCACGAACCUGCCCAUCUUUGCCUCUGUUAACAGCUGCCACUGUCUCUUCACGACAUGAUGGCUGACCUAGGUUGGAAGGAACAGAGCCAGUUGGCCAUGGACUGAAACUUUUGGAACUGAUUCUGAGGAGUUAAUGUUUCCAUGAAUAUCUCAGAAGGAGAUGUGGACAAACGAACAGUUAUCUCACUCCUGUAGCUGGCUGAGCUUUUUAAAGAUGGCUAUUCUGAAUUCUUCACAGAUGGCACAGUGUCAGAAUCGUGUGUGGCCUCCUGCUGCCUGAACCAUGCCGCUAAGACAGUUGCCCACUGUGCAGCUUCACACCAUCUGCAGAGAGCAACACUGCAGAGCCUUUGGGAGAGCCUUGCCAGUCGCUGAAAGCCUGGCUGACUGCCAAGCCUUGCACUGUAGACUGAAAAUUGCUCUCUUUGCUGAGCUCAGUACUAACACUUAGAUCUUCAUGGUCUCCUGGGAGACCAUGUCAGCUGCUGUUCAGUGAGAUAAAUUUGGAUCAGCUGAAGAUAUGCACUCUCUAUGCCUUCCUUGACUGUCAGCUAAACAGUGUGCACUCCUGGCUUAGUACAGCCUUGGCUGCUGAGAGCCCCAUUCCUCCCCUGUGCUCUUCAUUGUCCUCAUGAUCUGGCUUUCAUCAUCCAUUAUACUCCUAACACUGGGAGUGAAGUGUCAUUGAAGAAUGUUCAUCAGGCACUACCUCAAAGGGCUGGAGAUGAUUGGUGAAUGCUUUGAUUCUUCAUUCCUCCUAGGACACAUAUCAAGCCCCCAGAAUUUCUCUCUAUCCAGUUGCACCAGUGUGAGGAACUUGACGGUGUCAGGAAAGUGAAACUGCUUCUCUGCUCCAUAUAAAUGUCUGUGCAGAUGCAAAGCCAUGCAUUACAUGGUAGCUCACCUUUAAUCCUAGCACUCAGGAGACAGAGGCAGGAGGAUCUCUCCGAGCUCAAGGCCAGCCUGGUCUUCACAGUGAGUUCCAGGACAGCCAAGGCUACACAGGAAUCCUGUGUACAGGUCCUUGGUAUUGCACUCCUCUCUAUAAACACAACUUGCUUUUAGAAUGUGUGGUUGUUAAGUUGUUCUGUGAAGGAUGGAUAAAGGCUAGCUCACUACUACACCCGUCAGCUUGCUCCUGUCACUUCUUCUCACCUUUGAGCACUUAGCAUCCCUCUCCGUGUUGUCUUUGCUGAAAUGCUUGCUAAGGCGAAGCUCCUCUGUAGCUGUCCUCUAGCCCCAGCCAAGAUUCUUUCAAGAUUUUUCUUUGGCCUUCUGUAAUUUGAAUAUGAUGAAUGUUUUUAUUUAC
ensembl:lincRNA Ftx Ftx transcript, Xist regulator (non-protein coding)